UGGGGGGUAGGGGAGUGAGAGAGGGAAGCCAGGCAGGGGUGGGAAGGCCCAAAGAUGACUCUAGGAUGAGGCUCGCCAGGGUGCUGUUUAAGGCAGCCACAUGGACAACAUUGGGGAUGGGGGUGGGAGGAGUGGUUAAAUCAUGAAUGGUAUAGAUGAAGGAGGGGAUUCCAUGCAGCCUUUAGGAACCGCUGGAGUAGGCUGAUCUUUGGUGAUAUGAAGCUGCAUUCAUGGGGUGGCUAGCUGUGGAAUCGGACAGAGCUGGGUGCCCAUCGUGGCCCUCAAAACUUACUUUCCAUGAGCCCUCUAAUCCUAUAGAGGUUGGACAACUAGCACCCAUGAGCCAAAUCUGGCUCAAGGUCUGUUUUCUUUUCUUUUCUUUUUGAGACAGAGUCUCACUCUGUCGCCCAGGCUGGAGACUGAAAGGUGGUGUUGAUUGACCAUGGACCCAGGGAAAUAUCUGCAGUGGGUUAAGGAUACUCUGUGUGUCUUACAAAACAGAGACACAGAUGCUGCCUAAGAACGAGGUCCUCCUGGAACCGGUGCCAGGGAAGGAUCUGGAAGGAAAAGAAGAAUACCUGUGAUAGGUGUGAGAGAGGAGUGCCACUCACUGUUCACUGCAGCAGCAGGCGACAGGUGAAUUCUGAAUUCUUUUUUUUUUCCUUUUGAGACAGAGUCUUGUUCUGUAGCC
ensembl:lncRNA novel transcript, antisense FAM125A